rnacentral:rRNA from 1 species
AGGGUGUAAACGCUGCAGACUUGGUGUUGGGAACCCUUCGGGGGUGCUCAGUGCCGGAGAGAAGUUGUUAAGUCUGCUACUUGGGGAGUACGUCCGCAAGGAUGAAACUUAAAGGAAUUGGCGGGGGAGCACCGCAACGGGAGGAGCGUGCGGUUUAAUUGGAUUCAACGCCGAGAAACUCACCAGCAGCGACUGUUACAUGAAAGUCAGGUUGAUGACCUUACUAGAUUUUCAGAGAGGAGGUGCAUGGCGUCAGUGACU